rnacentral:rRNA from 1 species
CCCUACGGGACGCAGCAGUGAGGAAUAUUGGUCAAUGGGCGGGAGCCUGAACCAGCCAAGUCGCGUGAGGGAAGACGGUCCUAUGGAUUGUAAACCUUUUUAGGCGGGGAGCAAUGCCGGGCACGUGUGCCCGGAGGGAGAGUACCCGCAGAAUAAGCAUCGGCUAACUCCGUGCCAGCAGCCGCGGUAAUACGGAGGAUGCGAGCGUUAUCCGGAUUUAUUGGGUUUAAAGGGUGCGUAGGCGGAUUUUUAAGUCAGCGGUAAAAUGUCCGGGCUCAACCCUGGCCGGCCGUUUAAACUGGGGG